rnacentral:rRNA from 1 species
AGAGAGAGACAUGCGCGCAUAUCAAUAAGCGGAGGAAAAGAAACUAACAAGGAUUCCCUUAGUAACGGCGAGUGAAGCGGGAAGAGCUCAAAUUUGAAAUCUUCAAGGUUCUACCUUGACGAAUUGUAGUUUAUAAGAAGUGUUUUCUGUUAGUGGAGUGGCAAAAGUUCUUUGGAAUAGGGACAUCAUAGAGGGUGAGAAUCCCGUAUUUGACCAUUAUUUCCAGCUUUGUGAUACACUUCCAAAGAGUCGGAUUGUUUGGGAAUGCAGUCCAAAAUGGGUGGUAAAUUUCAUCUAAAGCUAAAUAUUGGCGGAGAGACCGAUAGCGAACAAGUACCGUGAGGGAAAGAUGAAAAGAACUUUGAAAAGAGAGUUAAACAGUACGUGAAAUUGUCAAAAGGGAAGCGUUUGACACCAGUGUUGUUUUCUCGAAAAUCAAUUAAAAAUGGCCGGAUUUUGUGUUGUAUUGACUUUAUCAGCUUUCUGCACUUUUUUCCUAUCUUUUUUAAUGCACUUUUCGUUUAACAAGUCAACAUCAAUUUCUUUUGUUGUAAAAGGUUAAGAGGAAGGUGGCUUUACUUUCGGGUAAAGUGUUUAUAGCCUUUUAACUCUGCAAUCGGAGAGAUUGAGGUCUGCAGCGUAGAUCCUUCGGGGCUAGAUACGUUUGUGCUAAGUUAUAGCUUUUCAUAGACAACUUGUUGACUAUGUUUAGUCUUGUAGCUUACUCGCUGACGCUAUUUUACCUACGCUUAGGAUGUUGACAGCAGUAUAGACUG